UAACUCUGGUUUCUCCUUAUUUGCGGAUAAAUCUUUCCCCUUUUACUAAAGAUUUCCGUGGAGAGGCACAAUACAAUGAGUUUUGCCUCUUUUUUCUGCUCUGUCUUCGGACGAAG
rnacentral:snRNA from 1 species